rnacentral:lncRNA from 1 species
CUUUACCCCAACUUUGUCAGUCCUGUCUUUCUGUCCCCUGCACUCUUAUGUUUCAUGUUUCUUUCUUCUCUAACUCCUACCAUUUCUCUUUUCUUUUCCCAUAUUUCUCUACUAUGACAGUUGGUUUUUUCUCACUUGCCCUGAUCUUUUGUUUUCUCCACUCCUGUUACUUAUUUCAUUUAAUUUUGCCUUUAUUUUCCAGCUUCCUUUGCCCCUUUUGUUCUCUCUGCUAAACUGCCCAGCUUAUUCAUUUUCUUGUAUUCCCUUUCUUCUCUGAUAUAGCCAAUCUAAUUUCUGUCAGAAGCUUAUUUUCAUGCUUUUGCUGAGCCUCUAUCUCUUCUAAAAACCUCUACCUUAUUUCAGACUGCGGUGAUCAACUGGAGUCCUCGAAGAAGCAUCUGGGUAGAGGCGAAGCCCAAGGAGAUUGCCAACUUACACACCGUCACUGCCUUGGCCUGGAAGCGGGCGGGAUGCCUCAGGACUCUGCACAGGCGCACUCUGUGGUGCAGUGGAACAGUCUGACUGCUGCCUCCGAAGGAGCAUUUACAGGAAUAAGUUUGAGCUGACCUGUGUGGGACCCAGGCAGGUCUCUGCCCCAGAUCUCCUUGUCAAUGACGGGCUUCUGGACCCUUUAUUCCAUAAUCAGGCUCAUUGGCAUUUGGGAAAGCAGCAGAAGGAGGGAGGCACUCAGCAUCGGCCGGCAGGCAGAGCUCUGAGCCAAGCAGCCCCAGCAGCUGAGCAUUGGAUGACAGUUGUUUUCUCUAAACUAAACCUCAGUAUCCACAUUUAAUUGCAGUGUUGGCACUUUGUAAUAAAUAAGUGGAUUUGGGGUUACAGUUUGGGCACUCGAUCUCUAAAAGGUUCUCCAUCCCUGCUCUAGGAAGCCACUAUGACCUAGGAAGGUCACUUUGACCUCCUCCUGUCCUCCUCCCCUGAAGUAGGCCAUAAGACUCAUUAGCAUCCACAUCAGCAAGGCAUGGUGUUCCAAGCCAGUAAUCCAGCUGCUUGGGAGGCUGAGGCAGGAGGGCGGUGAGUUUGAGGCCAUCCCAGGGAGCUCAAUGAGUCCCUGUCUCAAAAUUUAAAGAAAAAAAAAGGUUUAAGGGACGUAUCUCAGUGGUAGAGCAUCCCUGGGUUUCCAGUACCACCAAAACAAAAACUACCCCAACAUAUCCUGAGCUCUGAAGACAAGGGACACACAGAAGAAUAGGAUAAAACAGGAC